UACGAAGGGGGCUAGCGUUGCUCGGAAUCACUGGGCGUAAAGGGUGCGUAGGCGGGUCUUUAAGUCGGGGUGGAAAUCCCGACGGCUCAACCUCGGAACUGCCCUUCGAUACUGGCGACCUUCGAGUCCGGGAGAGGGUGAGUGGAACUGCGAAGUGUAGAGGUGAAAUUCGUAGAUAUUCGUCAAGAACACCAGUGGCGAAGGCGGCUCACUGGUCCGGUUCUGACGCUGAGGCGCGAAAGCGGUGGGAGCAAACAGG
rnacentral:rRNA from 1 species